rnacentral:rRNA from 1 species
UACGUAGGGACCGAGCGUUGUCCGGAAUUAUUGGGCGUAAAGAGCUCGUAGGCGGUUUGUCGCGUCUGCUGUGAAAACCUAAGGCUCAACCUUGGGCUUGCAGUGGGUACGGGCAGACUAGAGUGCGGUAGGGGGUGACUGGAAUUCCUGGUGUAGCGGUGGAAUGCGUAGAGAUCCGGAAGAACACCGGUGGCGAAGGCGGUCUGCUGGGCAGUAGCUGACACUGAGGCGCGAAAGCGUGGGUAGCGAACGAAGG